AACUGCGAUCAUUCCAUCAUUCUGGAGAUUGUAUGCCAGUACUGCUUUUCUUACUCUUUUAUUGACUAUGAAGGCUACUCCAUUUCUUCUGAGGGAUUCUUGCCUGCAGUAGUAUACCUGAUGAUCAUCUGAAUUAAAUGCACCCAUUCCUGUCCAU